AUUGAGAUCUAUUCCUAUGAGGCUUUUUCUGUAAACCUACAUCAUUGGAAAUGCCUCAUAGAGUAACUAUGUUGUUUCCUUUACUGAUAGAAAUACUACAUGUUAGGUCUGGGGGGAAGAACUACAAGACAUGA
rnacentral:snoRNA from 1 species